CUCUCAGCCCAGCCCACUUCAAAGGAUUGUAGCUGUGGGGAAAAGAGGAGGAGGAAGGUGCGUCAGAUAUGUUCUCCGACUAUUUGUAAAAAUAAUGAAGGCGGCAUGCAAAUAGCAAAAAUAAAUUUUAAAAAAGCAAGUGGAGCUAUAGUUUUUUUUUUGUGUGGGUGGGUGGAGUUUGCAUCAGGACAAUGCUAUUCUCUAACCGCCAUGGCCGUGAUGAGAAGCAGAUGCACAGAAGUUGGACCUGGUUCAAAUAUCUGAGCUGCCGGUCUUGUCAUUUGUCUUCUGGAUACCGAGACCACGGUCUGGAAUGGUCCGUCGGAGGCAAAGAGCUGGUCCAAUUUAUACAUCUGGCGAGAUACUCCCAGGUGUGAACGAGAGCAUCAUUUACCUAGGAGGACGAUCCUUCACCUUCAUCAAAGAGGAAGAAAAGACGCUGUGGAUAAACAGAACAAAAGAAGAAGAAAAAAAGAAAAGAAAAAGAAAAUAAAGCAAUAGAAGAAAGGGAAAGCCGAGCCAUGCAUAAUAAAUAUCCGAAUGGAAGUUUUGCUCAUCAAACUACGAUUCCAAAUAUAUUCUAAUCCUCUGGGCCACCUUGCUUUGAUGUUCUGCCGAACGAGAAAGCCUGUGUAUUUUGUAAGAUUUACAGC